GAAUAUUGCACAAUGGGCGCAAGCCUGAUGCAGCAACGCCGCGUGCGGGACGAAGGCCUUCGGGUCGUAAACCGCUUUUCUGGGGAAAGAGCAAGGACGGUACCUCAGGAAUAAGUCUCGGCUAACUACGUGCCAGCAGCCGCGGUAAAACGUAGGAGGCGAGCGUUAUCCGGAUUUACUGGGCGUAAAGCGCACGCAGGCGGCUCUGUGAGUCGGACGUGAAAGCUCCCGGCUUAACCGGGAGAGGCCGUUCGAUACUGCGGGGCUUGAGGUAGGGAGAGGAAUGCGGAAUUCCCGGUGUAGUGGUGGAAUGCGUAGAUAUCGGGAGGAACACCUGUGGCGAAAGCGGCAUUCUGGCCCUCACCUGACGCUGAGGUGCGAAAGCGUGGGUAGCAAACAG
rnacentral:rRNA from 1 species